GCAAGCACGGUGUAGUGGUUUGAGCUUUAGACUACAGUUCUGGAGACCAGGGUUCGAAUCCCAGUGUAGCCA